AUAAUGAUACUUCCGAAGAUAAGCUGCUUCGGUCCGAGAGGAUGGUGAGAUUCCAAUGA
rnacentral:ncRNA from 1 species